rnacentral:rRNA from 1 species
GAUGAACGCUGGCGGCGUGCCUAAUACAUGCAAGUCGAGCGAACAGACGAGGAGCUUGCUCCUCUGACGUUAGCGGCGGACGGGUGAGUAACACGUGGAUAACCUACCUAUAAGACUGGGAUAACUUCGGGAAACCGGAGCUAAUACCGGAUAAUAUAUUGAACCGCAUGGUUCAAUAGUGAAAGACGGUUUUGCUGUCACUUAUAGAUGGAUCCGCGCCGCAUUAGCUAGUUGGUAAGGUAACGGCUUACCAAGGCAACGAUGCGUAGCCGACCUGAGAGGGUGAUCGGCCACCCUGGAACUGAGCCACGGUCCAGACUCCUGCGGGAGGCAGCAGUAGGGAAUCUUCCGCAAUGGGCGAAAGCCUGACGGAGCAACGCCGCGUGAGUGAGGAAGGUCUUCGGAUCGUAAAACUCUGUUAUUAGGGAAGAACAAAUGUGUAAGUAACUAUGCACGUCUUGACGGUACCUAAUCAGAAAGCCACGGCUAACUACGUG